AGAGCAGGAGAGACUGAUCCUCCAACAGUGCUGUGUUAUGAUGUGAUCCCGAAUGACUGAAGUACUUCCAUCUGAUGAAUAGUCACAGCACUACUGACACUCCUAACUAUUGCCAAUACAGAAGAUUUUCCAGGGUCUACACAAUGUGCCGAUUGUUCUUUAACAGGAGAAGGGAAUGCAGAAAUAUGAGGUAGAGUGUGACUCUGUAAGUAAAAUACCGGGAGACUAUAGUGAAACUUCUGGGUUGCCUUCUAAAAAUACCAGAACAUGAGAGAAUUUUUAGAAGUCUUCUUA